rnacentral:lncRNA from 1 species
UUUAUGAUUAGGUUUGGCACCAAACCUAAUGAUCUGAGUUCAUUCAAUUCCUGGAAUCCACAUGAUACAAGAAGAGAUCUGACUCCUACAAGCUGGCCUCUGUCCUAUACUAGUGUGCCAUGGCAUUCAUGAGAGCAUUCACACACACACACGUGCGCAGAAACAUAAAUGCUUAAAAGAAAAAUUUAAUCCACACCAGGAGUGUUGGUGUGUGGUUAAGUGGAAGAGUGUUUGACUAGUAUUCAUAAGGUCCUGGGUUUUAUCUUUAGGACAUAAAAGUAAAUACACAGGCCUUAGAGAUAGCGAAUGUUACUCAAGUUUCUUAGAGUUCCGGGGAUGUAAUAGUAGUGGCAGAACACUCACCUAGCAUUUACAGAAUUAUACAUUAGAUCCCUAACACUACAAAAAGAAAGAAAACUAAAGCUAGGCAUGGUGAUACAUGCCUAUAAUUCAGUAUCCCAGAUGUUGAGACAGGGAUUGUAAGUUUCAGGCCACGCUAGGCUGUACAGCAAGGCCAAACCCAUCUCAAAAGAAAAAAGAAAAAAAUAGUAAUAGUGUGCCACCCUCCACCACCUGCCCUAGGAUAUGUGUUUCUUGGCCUUUGAUUAAGACACCUAUCUAUCCAGUGUUUCUUGUCAUCUUCUUUCCAAUAAUCUUUCCCAUCUAAUGACACUUGGUUUUCUUCUAUCACCUUCUUUUGAAAACUUAAAAGUAUCCGUGCUUUCUAACAGGUUUUCCAUCCCAGGGCCCUUCUAUCCUCUAUUUCUCCUUUCUUGAACCAGCUUCCAUUGUCUUAAGGUAACAUAGACCCACCAACUGCAUUAGACCCCUAGCCAGCACUAUAAAGUUCCAGUUUCACUGAUGUUGUACAUAAAAGCAACACAGGUUUUUUUCUCCUAGCUUCUUAACUGGCUGGCUCUGAGCAAUGCAGUUUGUUGCUGAGCUAAUGGCCUGAGUUUUAUUUACAUGCAGUAGAACAGAAGGGUUAAAGGCUAUAGCAUGCUUUUCCUGUGCUGUGUUGUGUUGUGUUUGGGACAGGCUUUUAUAGAGCCUAGACUUCUCUAGAAUGCCUUGUGUAGCACAAGCAAGCCUCAGAUUUGGAAUCUUCUGCCUCUACCUCUGUGGUGCUAGGAUUAUCAUAUGCACCACUAUGCCCAGAUUUCUCUGCAUUUUAAAGGUUUUCCACUAACCUUUCAUUCUUCUUUAUACUCUCCUAAAC